ACAAUAUCUCCCACAAUUCAGUUCAAUAGACAUUUAAGCAAAUCAGUCAGUCCACCAUAAAGCAUUUAUCUGUCUGUAUUUAAAUGUUGGAUGCUGGUAAGAUGUGGCAAGAAAGGUAAGAAUAGCUUCUGUCCUCAAGGAGCUAACAAUCUUUUUCUUACAUUGUUUUUCAGUGAACAAACAUUUAUUUGCCUCUCCUCUUAUCUUCCAUUAAGAAGUUCAUGCCUUCAGACUUCUUGCUUGGAAGGCCCCCCUUGACUCUUGGUGAGAUGCAGGGUUGCACUUGUCCAAUGCUUCACAUCAAGCAGGCUUCCCAACGUGACUGUGAUGUGUUCUCAAUCCUGUUCCAUGGCUAGCAGAGGAAACCUAAGGAACAAUGGCCUGGGAAAGGGAACUCACAAAGGGUUUUUUAUGUCAUAAGCAUCGUAAAUGCUUGAGAUCAUCAAUCCUGGGGGAUAAAUAUUAGAUUGUGCUUCAUGUUGUUAAGGAAAAGGGGGUGGGGUGGGAAUGGAGGCUUGGGGGGGAAAGAUUGGCCACAUUUCCAAAACAAAGUGUAAGGGAGGUCCC
rnacentral:lncRNA from 1 species